rnacentral:lncRNA from 1 species
ACUAUCCUACCAAUGCUUAUGCUUAUAAAAUAAUAGAAUAAACUUCAAAUAUUAUUUAUACAGUAUCACGCUUUUUCACUUUAGUAUCUUAUAAUUUAAAGUGUACCACUUUAGCACUAUAUAUUUUUUAUUUUCAUUAGCGCCUCGAUUAAUUCUCCGUUAAAUUAUAUACAAAAAACUUUAUAUACCCUACCUAUAGUUUAUAAAAUAUUCACUUUAGUAUCCUAUGAAUUUAAUUUAUCAUUGAUUUAAUGAAAAAAUUAAUGAAAGUGAUAACAGAAAAAAAAAAAAAAUCAUAGGAUACGAAAGUAAUAUAUUUUAAACUAUAGGAUAUGAAAGUAAUACAUUUUAAAUUAUAGGAUAGUAAAGUGAGAAUACCGAAAGAUGAUAUUUAAAUUUUUUCCUAAAAAAUAUAU